rnacentral:misc_RNA from 1 species
CCGUUUCUUUGUCACCGCUUGAGAGAUCAACAGCCCCAGCGCAGCAGCAGAAAGAACAGUUCAAGAAGCAGCCAUGGGAAAAGUACACGGGUCUUUGGCUCGUGCUGGUAAGGUGAGAGGCCAAACUCCCAAAGUGGCAAAGCAGGACAAAAAGAAGAGGCCUCGCGGCCGCGCCUACAAGAGGAUGCAAUACAACCGCCGCUUUGUCACCGCUGGUAAUCUCUCCUCUGCCCAUCUUUAUUAGUUUUUUAUCCUAAGAUAUUCGAUUGUAAAUUUCUUCGGUAGAGAAUAAGUUUAUGAUAUUUUUAUACCUCUCUUACGAAGGGGAAAAAUUAGUUAUAUAUUCGAUGCUUCUCUCUGUUUUGGGGGUGUUGGGGUGGUGGUGGAACUAGUGCUUGCAAGCCGUAGUAGCAAUAGUUUAUUUAAAUUGAAAAAUAAGGCAACAAUUUUUAGAGGAGUGCUGGGUAUGCAAUAACUUGAACUGUUGUCUCUCAUCCAAGAAUCCUCGAUUUUUGUGUACUGAAUUCAUGCAUACACCUUAUUGUACCCUUUAUUGUGGCUUUUGGAAUUGGGUUAUGUUUGUGUUUGACUCUCUACUAGGAAAACUUGGGCAAAGUUAUAAAACUUGAUAUAAAAAUUGAGUUUCUGCUUUGAAUGAUUUAUAUCUAGGUUCUAAAGUUUUGGUUUCUUUCUUGUUUAUUUGCAGUUGUGGGAUUCGGCAAGAAAAGAGGCCCCAACUCUUCUGAAAAGUAAUAUUCAGUUGGGUGUUGGAACAUCAUUCUAUUGUCUUUGUUGAGUUUUUUAUAUUAACUCUCAAACUAUGUGGAGCAU